GGUAGUAGGCCUAACACAUGCAAGUCGAACGGCAGCACAGGAGAGCUUGCUCUCUGGGUGGCGAGUGGCGGACGGGUGAGGAAUACAUCGGAAUCUACUCUGUCGUGGGGGAUAACGUAGGGAAACUUACGCUAAUACCGCAUACGACCUACGGGUGAAAGCAGGGGAUCUUCGGACCUUGCGCGAUUGAAUGAGCCGAUGUCGGAUUAGCUAGUUGGCGGGGUAAAGGCCCACCAAGGCGACGAUCCUGUAGCUGGUCUGAGAGGAUGAUCAGCCACACUGGAACUGAGACACGGUCCAGACUCCUACGGGAGGCAGCAUGUGGGGAAUAUUGGACAAUGGGCGCAAGCCUGAUCCAGCCAUACCGCGUGGGUGAAGAAGGCCUUCGGGUUGUAAAGCCCUUUUGUUGGGAAAGAAAUCCAGCCGGCUAAUACCUGGUUGGGAUGACGGUACCCAAAGAAUAAGCACCGGCUAACUUCGUGCCAGCAGCCGCGGUAAUACGAAGGGUGCAAGCGUUACUCGGACAUUUACUGGGGCGUUAAAGCGUGCGUAC
rnacentral:rRNA from 1 species